GACGGAGGAUGCAAGCGUUAUCCGGAAUGAUUGGGCGUAAAGCGUCCGCAGGUGGCAGUUCAAGUCUGCUGUCAAAGACCGGGGCUUAACUUCGGAAAGGCAGUGGAAACUGAACAGCUAGAGUAUGGUAGGGCAGAGGAAUUCCUGGUGUAGCGGUGAAAUGCGUAGAGAUCAGGAAGAACAUCGGUGGCGAAGGCGCUCUGCUGGACCAUAACUGACACUCAGGACGAAAGCUAGGGAGCGAAUGGG
rnacentral:rRNA from 1 species